CGUCUAGGCGGUCAGGUAAGUGGGAUGUGAAAUGCCCCGGCUCACCUGGGGACCGGCAUCUCAUACUGCUUGGCUUGAGUACGGGAGAGGAUGUGGGAAUUCCUGGUGUAGCGGUGAGAUGCGUAGAUAUCAGGAGGAACACCGGUGGCGAAGGCGCACAUCUGGCCCGAUACUGACGCUGAAGCGCGAAAGCUAGGGGAGCAAACG
rnacentral:rRNA from 1 species